GGAGUUUGGGCCGUGUCUCAGUCCCAAUGUGGCCGAUCACCCUCUCAGGUCGGCUACCGAUCGUCGACUUGGUGGGCCGUUACCUCACCAACUAUCUAAUCGGACGCGAGCUCACCCCUCACCGGAUCGCUCCUUUUACCCCAAGGCGAUGCCGCCUCGUGGUCUUAUGCGGUAUUAGCACCUGUUUCCAAGUGUUAUCCCCCUGUCAGGGACAGAUUGCUCACGCGUUACUCACCCGUCCGCCGCUAAAAUAUGGCUCCCUUCGGCCGAAGCCUCUGUUCCCCACAUCUCCGCUCGACUUGCAUGUGUUAGGCACGCCGCCAGCGUUCGUCCUGAGCCACGGAUCAAACUACU
rnacentral:rRNA from 1 species